rnacentral:rRNA from 1 species
CCUACGGGAGGCAGCAGUGGGGAAUCUUGCGCAAUGGGCGAAAGCCUGACGCAGCGACGCCGCGUGGGGGAUGAAGGCCUUCGGGUUGUAAACCCCUUUCAGCACCGACGAAUGAAGGACGGUAGGUGCAGAAGAAGCGCCGGCUAACUCCGUGCCAGCAGCCGCGGUAAU